AAGGGCACCACAAGAACGCGUGGAGCAUGUGGCUUAAUUUGACUCAACGCGGGAAAUCUUACCGGGUCCGGACACACUGAGGAUUGACAGGCGCUUGCAUAGCGUGCGGGCUCUCCUUUUGGGGGGUUCUGCACGCACAAUGCUUUCAAAUAUGCUAGUCCUUUCAUGAUUGUGUGAUAGGUGGUGCAUGGCCGUUCUUAGUUCGUGGAGUGAUCUGUCUGCUUAAUUGCGUUUCACAAGGGACUUGCAUGGCAUACGUUGGGAUAUGGUGCCCUCCUGCCGUUGCCCCUGACGGGGCCGGGGGAGUGUUGCGCCUGUCUUUCAAUAGCCAACAGUCCCGAAGGCAACGAACGUGACCGCAGCCUCUUGUUACCUCUCUGUUUUCCACUUCGGGGCGGCCAUCGGCCUUCGGGUCGGGGCUUGUUCCCGUUGAGAGAGGUAAACUAGAGGGACCGCCGACGUUUUUAAACCGGAGGAAGGUUGCGGCAAUAACAGGUCUGUGAUGCCCUUAGAUGUUCCGGGCUGCACACGUGCUACAAUGAUUAUUGCAGUGAGCAUCUUCACAAGUUCGUGGGGUGCUGCGAUGAGUNCAUCUUGNCGUGUCGGCGUGGUGCAGCGGUGGAGGGGGGCGCUGGUCGGAGGCUUCGUGCUGAUGGCUGGUUGCUUCUCUCGCCGCAGCCCGUGUCGCUGGCUUUGGGCUUGGCGCGCAUCCGCUAUCACGACACGCCUGCUUCGAAAGUAAGCAGGUAAUCAAUUCGAAGUAAUGAUUUCCAUCCGCACGCUUUAGCGCAGGUCGCUGUGGCUUCGUGUCACGCGUCCAGCGUGUGCUCCAUAACUUCGUGGUGGGGACAGACCCUUGUUAAUUGUUGGUCUCGGUCUCAACUAGGAAUGCCUUGUACGGGUCUUUGGUUCAACAAACCACCCGGAAUAUGUCCCUGCCCUUUGUACACACCGCCCGUC
rnacentral:rRNA from 1 species